GUUCCCAGGCUAGGGGUCAAAUCAGAGUUGUCGUCACCAGCCUACACCACAGCCACAGCAACUUGGGAUCCAAGCUACAUCUGUGACCUAUACCACAGCUCACGGCAAUGCCGGAUCCUUAACCCACUGAGCGAGGCCAGAGAGCGAACCUGCAACCUCAUGGUGCCUAGUCAGAUUCGUUUCCUCUGUGCCACGACGAGAACGCCAUGUAGGCGCUCUCUUAUCCUCUUCACGUAUUUUAUUUCAGCUACUUAAGAGGUGAAGUUCAAGUGUAUUUUGGUGUUUCUUGUUACAGGCACUCUUAAAAGCUUUUGUGACAGCAAAAGAAAGGAACUAACACUUACAGACUACCCAGUGAACUGGGUUGUUCUUCACUUGUUAUCCUAUUUAAUGCUCACAGCACCUUCAGCAACACCUUGCUGUUGGUGCGCCACAGAUGGAAGGGCAGUGAGGCUUCGUAACGUGCUCAGGUCGGAGGUAGAAGAUGGUCAAGGCGGGUUUCAAGCCUGGGCUCUCCAGCUGAAAGGUGUGUGCUUUGAAGAAGGUGGAAACCAUUAGCUACAGUGUUGUAAAGAGUCUGGUUUAGAGGUUCCCUUGUCUGCCAGUAAUACAACUACUUCCAUUAUGGUGGUAAUUAUAAUUAUACUACUUAUAAUACUAUAAGUAUUAUACUAUAUAUAUAUAUAUAUAAUGGACACCUGGACGCACACACACACACACGGACAGAUAGAAUGAUUACAGCAAAAGGUUGAAACACUUUUGUUGAAUGUUGGGUGUCAUAGCUGUCAUUUUCAUUAAGAACAUACAAUGUAAUUUUACUUCGAUAGUAGAAAAAAGCUGAAUUGAAAACUUAAGGAAUAGUUGAACCUUCAUUCUUUUUCCUUCAUAUAGAUUUUAUUUCCUAAAAGAUUUAAGAAUAAAAUAGCUUCAAAAUAAGAGAGGUUAAAGUAAUUUUUUUUUUCCCAGUCUCAGUAUCAAUUAACCCCCAGCUCUGAGAGAGGGAACAGCAGCUCAUCUUUUGUCCUUUCUUCUGUCUUCUCCCUUCCCAAUUUUUGUUGUUGUUUUUCUAUGUUCCCGUUUUAUGUUAUUCUCAUUCUUAUCUUUUGCUGUUCAUGUUCACUAUGGUAGCCACUUACUGCACGUGGCUAUUUAAACUUACUUUUUCUUUUCUUUUUUGACUGCAGCCUUGGCAUGUGGAAGUUCCCAGGCCAGGGAUCCAACUUGAGCCACAGCAGUGAGCUGAGCCACUGCAAGUGACGCCAGAUCCUUAAGCCAUUGGGCACCAGGGAACUCCUAAACUUAGAUUUACAUGAAAUUACAAAUUUAGUUUUUCAGUCUCAGUAGCCACAUUUUCAGUGCUCAGUAGCCAGAGGUGGCUUGUGGGAUAGUGCACGUAUUAGACAACACUGGCUUCCAAGAAGAGGUCACUGGUGUUGUACUUCCUGAAUUCUUUCAUGUUUGAGAAUGUCUCUUUGCCUUUAUAGCAGAAUGAUAGUUUGGCCUAUACUUUCCGUCAGAACUUUGUAGCAAAAUUUUCGCUGAUAUCUUCUGACAUGGAGUUUUGCUCUAGAGAAAUGGAAAGCCAGCCCAGUGUUGCCCCCAUUCUAUAGGCAGUUUGGUUUUUGUUCCUGGGAACCUUAAAGAUUUUAUAAACAUCUCUUGGUGUGUAGUGUUCUUCCAGAAGUUUCUUUGUUUUCUUUUUCUGGAACAUGUGCUUUUUUGGUUUGCAAAUUUUGUUUGUUCUUCAUUCCCUAUUGUCUCAUAUCUGGGAUCCGUUGCCUAUUCCAGUUCUUAAGUUAUCUUCUUCAGGAAUAUGUCCUCCUAUUAAGUUACUUUUAUCUGCCUUCCAUAUUUACCAGCUUUCUGGUUGUUUUCGUUUCCUUGUUUAUUUUCCAUUCUAAAAAAUGAUGAUCCAAGCUAUAUCACUAUAAACAACAAGGUUUUUCUGUAUAGCACAGGGAACUAUAUUCAGCAUCUUGGAAUAAACCAUAAUGAAAAAGAAUAUAUAAUACACACACAAAGUGACUGAAUCACUUUGCUGUUCACGAGAAACUAACACAACAUUGUAAAUUAACUGUACUUCAGUAAGAAAAAAAAACACAACAUAUCACCAUGAUAGCCGAACUGUUUCACUCUCAGUUGAUCAUCCAGGGUUGUCAGUUUCUUGACUGUCUUAUUUUCCCUUAUUUACUAAUUCUAUAGAGAUGCUGAUUUUUAAUUUGUUUCCUUAUUUCCCUCACAAUGUUAGCUAUCUGUUACUCUCCAGCACUUCACCCCCAAAUUUAGAUAUUAAAACAAACAUAUGCUGACUCAUAGUGUCUGUGGCUCAGGAAUGCAAGCAUAGCUUAGCUGGGUGACUCUUGCUCACAAGGAUUUAAUCAAAAUGUCAGCUGGGGCAACAGGAUCCUAAGGCUCGAUCGGGAAAGGUUUUACUUCCAAACUCCCCCCCUGUGACGGAUAUUGGCAGAAGGUCUCAGGUACUUACUGGCUAUUGGCUGGAGACAUUUUUUUCUCAACACAUGGGCUUCUCCGUAGGGCAGCUCACAACGUGGCAGCCAGCUUUCCUCAGCUCAAGAGACGGUGCCCAGGAUAGAGACCACAGUCUUUUUGAACCCUUAGCUCAAAGUGGUAUCACAUCAUCACUCAGCCACUGCUGUUUGCUAGAAACAAAUCAUUAAGCCCAGCCCCCACACAAGGGGAGGGGAUUCUCUAAGAGUGGGAAAACCAAGAGAUGAAGAUCCUGGAGCCCAUCUUAGAUGCCGCCUACCACACCCUCUUUUUCAUUUCAUUGUGUUAUAUCUGCCUUUGGGCUCUUGAGUUUUCUCCUUAGCCAUUAACUCCUGUUUCUCACAUUUUGUUUUCUUUUAGGUUGGGCACAUGCAUGCCUUCCGUUCCCCUUUUAUACUGUGUUUUUGAUAGAAACACACUUAAAGUCAUGCCAUCUGUUUCAACCUUGAUCUCAAGUGGCUCUGUUCACACAUUCUGUUUGCUUUAAUAUAGUGUGGGUGGCUUUUUUAUAUGCUUCCCUUUGUAUCUGAGACCAGUUUGAUUUCCCGUCAAGCUACAGUUUGAAGGCGGGGUAUUUUGGCUGGUCUGCUUUUAUGUGGCUCUUGAGGAUGGUCUCUGGAGGAAGAAAGCAGUUGAGGUGAGGAGAUUAAACAUCAGAAUACCGGGAUUCCUACUCUCUUCUGAGGUCAUGGUAGAGAUAUGUCAGAGUUUACCCCUGCUUGGGAUGGGGUUUGACGGGGCUGGGUCUGCUUCCACCGGGACGUCGUGUUAACUCUGCCUCCCAAACGGCCAUUCCCCAUACUCUGCAGAAGGAAGGGAAAGCGUAUUUGCUGGAGUAGGGAGAUGGGCUGAGGGAACUUUAAGGGGAUGAUAGAAUUACUCUGAAACUAAAUUAUGAUGACAGUUGUACAACUUCUAAACUGAAACUCAUCAAAAUAGAAAUUUGAAACAGGUAUAUUUCAUAUGUAUGCUAGUUUGCUACUAUUUAUUGGAUGGUAUGUAAACAAAAAAGUCCCACCUAAAAAUGCAAAUUAGAUUUUAUUACUUUCUGACUGUAAAAUCAGUAGCAAAAAAGGAAAAAAAAAAAAAA
rnacentral:lncRNA from 1 species